UUGUUGGAAGUGGGGGUGGUGGCUCUGGAUGGAAGGGGGUUGGAUUUGGACAGGGUGGAAAGGCAACAGAAAAGAUGGUGUGGUGAUAGC
rnacentral:SRP_RNA from 12 species